CUGGUGUCAGUCGCCGCGGUAAUACCAGCACCCCGAGUGGUCGGGACGUUUAUUGGGCCUAAAGCAUCCGUAGCCGGUUCUACAAGUCUUCCGUUAAAUCCACCUGCUUAACAGAUGGGCUGCGGAAGAUACUAUAGAGCUAGGAGGCGGGAGAGGCAAGCGGUACUCGAUGGGUAGGGGUAAAAUCCGUUGAUCCAUUGAAGACCACCAGUGGCGAAGGCGGCUUGCCAGAACGCGCUCGACGGUGAGGGAUGAAAGCUGGGGGAGCAAACCGGAUUAGAUACCCGGGUAGUCCCAGCUGUAAACGAUGCAGACUCGGUGAUGAGUUGGCUUCUUGCCAACUCAGUGCCGCAGGGAAGCCGUUAAGUUUGCCGCCUGGGGAGUACGGUCGCAAGACUGAAACUUAAAG
rnacentral:rRNA from 2 species